rnacentral:rRNA from 1 species
UACAGAGGGUGCGAGCGUUAAUCGGAGUUACUGGGCGUAAAGGGCGCGUAGGCGGUUUAAUGGGUGUGAUGUGAAAGCCUUGGGCUUAACCUGAGAAGUGCAUCGCAAACUGUUGAACUGGAGUAUAUGAGAGGGUGUCGGAAUUUCCGGUGUAGCGGUGAAAUGCGUAGAGAUCGGAAGGAACGUCAAUGGCGAAGGCAGGCACCUGGCAUAAUACUGACGCUGAGGCGCGAGAGCGUGGGGAGCGAAC